UUAAGUAGACCGCCUGGGGAGUACGGCCGCAAGGUUAAAACUCAAAUGAAUUGACGGGGGCCCGCACAAGCGGUGGAGCAUGUGGUUUAAUUCGAUGCAACGCGAAGAACCUUACCUGGUCUUGACAUCCACAGAAGAAUCCAGAGAUGGAUUUGUGCCUUCGGGAACUGUGAGACAGGUGCUGCAUGGCUGUCGUCAGCUCGUGUUGUGAAAUGUUGGGUUAAGUCCCGCAACGAGCGCAACCCUUAUCCUUUGUUGCCAGCGGUC
rnacentral:rRNA from 1 species